UUGCUUGCUUUGGCAGCAUAUAUACUAAAAUUGGAGUGGAGAUUAGCAUGGCCCCCCGUGCAAGGGGCCACACAAAUAUGUGAAAUGUUCCGUAUUUUU
ensembl:snRNA U6 U6 spliceosomal RNA